rnacentral:rRNA from 1 species
AUUGAACGCUGGCGGCAUGCCUUACACAUGCAAGUCGAACGGCAGCAUGAUCUAGCUUGCUAGAUUGAUGGCGAGUGGCGAACGGGUGAGUAAUACAUCGGAACGUGCCCUGUAGUGGGGGAUAACUAGUCGAAAGAUUAGCUAAUACCGCAUACGACCUGAAGGUGAAAGUGGGGGACCGCAAGGCCUCAUGCUAUAGGAGCGGCCGAUGUCUGAUUAGCUAGUUGGUGAGGUAAAGGCUCACCAAGGCGACGAUCAGUAGCUGGUCUGAGAGGACGAUCAGCCACACUGGGACUGAGACACGGCCCAGACUCCUACGGGAGGCAGCAGUGGGGAAUUUUGGACAAUGGGCGAAAGCCUGAUCCAGCAAUGCCGCGUGUGUGAAGAAGGCCUUCGGGUUGUAAAGCACUUUUGUCCGGAAAGAAAUGGCUCUGGUUAAUACCUGGGGUCGAUGACGGUACCGGAAGAAUAAGAACCGGCUAACUACGUG